rnacentral:rRNA from 1 species
AUUGAACGCUGGCGGCAGGCCUAACACAUGCAAGUCGAGCGGAUGAAGGGAGCUUGCUCCUGGAUUCAGUGGCGGACGGGUGAGUAAUGCCUAGGAAUCUGCCUGGUAGUGGGGGAUAACGUCCGGAAACGGGCGCUAAUACCGCAUACGUCCUGAGGGAGAAAGUGGGGGAUCUUCGGACCUCACGCUAUCAGAUGAGCCUAGGUCGGAUUAGCUAGUUGGUGGGGUAAAGGCCUACCAAGGCGACGAUCCGUAACUGGUCUGAGAGGAUGAUCAGUCACACUGGAACUGGGACACGGUCCAGACUCCUACGGGAGGCAGCAGUGGGGAAUAUUGGACAAUGGGCGAAAGCCUGAUCCAGCCAUGCCGCGUGUGUGAAGAAGGUCUUCGGAUUGUAAAGCACUUUAAGUUGGGAGGAAGGGCAGUAAGUUAAUACCUUGCUGUUUUGACGUUACCAACAGAAUAAGCACCGGCUAACUUCGUG